CGCCACACCACACCCACCCACGCUUUCCCCAUAGGUCGUCUGCCUCCUUCCUCGGCAGAUCCGCCGCCGCCGCCCCCAGGGCCCGCGCCCCUCCACGCCCGCACUACCGCAAGACACCUACCCCGCCCCCAAGGUCGUCCCCGGCCCACGUCGCGACGACACCGCAGCUCAUCGCCUCCGUCGCCGAGGCCAUCGGCGGAGAGGACUGCACCGCCGACCUCCCUGAGGAGCUCCUCGCCUCAUCUUCGGCCUGCUUGACUUUAAUGGGGGGUGAUGGCGUCUUCCUCUCCCGUCCCCGUCGGCCGCGAGCGGAGCGGCCCAUCUGCUGCUGCAGAGUCAGAGCUGCCCCUAAGCUUCUGGCCUCCCCCUCCCACUUCCCCUUCCCGUCUGGGCUGGAAUUCCACUCCACCACCACCGCCCGCCGCCCCUCUGCUCGCAAGCAGCUUGACUGCUUCAGCACAAGACCCAUCCAUUCCUUUGAGGAUCGCAUCGCAUCAGAUCGGAUCGGAUUUCUCAGAUCAGAUCAACCUCUUCCCUCUCCGGCCGAUUCUACUCCAUCAAGUCCAGUCCAGAGCCUUUAGUGGCUCACGGAAACUGAAAGCUCUCCCCCCGUUUCUGCAGCUGAUAUCACACCCAGUAUGGCGGCAAAUGUCGGGGAAUCAACAAGCGGCAGCAGCAAUUGUGCUACCUUUUGCAGUUGUGCUACCUUUUGCAAAGUACCUGUAGGAAAUGGCUGACGGUGAGGAUAUCCAGCCUCUUAUCUGUGACAAUGGAACUGGAAUGGUCAAGGUCAUGGUCAAGGUUGGGUUGGCCGGUGAUGAUGCACCGAGGGCUUUUUUUUCCUAGCAUUGUUGGCCGCCCUUGCCGCACUGGUGUGAUGGUAGGGAUGGGGCAGAAGGAUGCAUACGUUGGGGACGACUCCAGGGACUGCCCCCUUCCUCGACGUCGGCUUCCACUGCUGCGAGAACGGCCGCCCCGUCACGUCCCCAAGUGGCGCUGGCAGCUGAUGUGCUGCGAUCUCCCCAGGAGACCAAAAUCAGCAAAAUACAGUAGAGUCAAGCAGAUCAACGAGGUCAGCCAGAGAGGAGUUACCUUGUGCAGUUAGUCUGGGAGAGUUGAUAUUUCUAUUUGCUUGGCAGGAUAGUGCAAUUUUCUUCAGUAUGCAGUAUCAUAAGUAGUUCAAAACAAUUAGCUGGAUUAUCAUUCAUCUACUAGACGUAUGCAAUGCACUAAAUUGCUAGAAUGUAGUCUAUACGUAAUGUCAUUUGUUGUGUGUCUGAUUGCUUCUUAUUGUUGUGCAAUUAAAUAAAUUUCCUCUAAACAGAUUAGUGCAAUACAGCAUGCAAUUAAUUGAAUUUCUCUAGUCAGAUUAGUCCAAUAUAGCAAACAAUUAAAUGUUUUUUCAUAGGCAAAUUGGUGCAAUACAGCAAGCAAAACAAUGUUUUUUCAUUCGGAGUGAUAUGAGGGUGCUACAAUGGAUUAGGUGAGAGGUGAGGUCGUGCACUCCUGAUGUUUUUUAACAGCCCCUUGCACAAAUUAAUUUGCUAGCCUAUGCCUGGAUUGUUUUGAUGUUUUAGAUGCAGUGUGUAGAGUGAAAUCGAAACCCUAGGGAGGUGGUGCAUAGGUAAGGUGCAACCAAUAUAGAGAUUUGGGUCUGCCCCCCAAAUCUUGAGGCCUUCUGGCACUACACAGAUGGUCCUACCUCUUGUCAGAAGUGGAGUGAGAAAGAACUUGCCUAACUGCAUUCUACCCGUGUGUUUUGUGGGUAUAGCACCCCUUCUCCAAAUCAGUGCCCUCUCUCAUCAGCUUGUGUGAUGCACUAGUAAUUUAGCAUCAGCACUACACUACCAAGAGAAAUGUAACAGUUUUGAGAUUUGGCAUAUCAAUAUAUUAUCCAUGCAAUUUUGUUGCUUCCUUUAGUAUUCAGUAUGUGUGUUGUCAUCUUAGUCUAGAAAGUAACAGUGUCUAUGAGCUGGUAAUUUUACCUUUUCCGGUGAAGAAGAGGUGGUGUGGCAUUUUA